CAGGUCUGACCAUCUGGCUGGUGUCUGC
rnacentral:sRNA from 1 species